GGGAGGGUCAUUGGAAACUGGGGAACUUGAGUGCAGAAGAGGAGAGUGGAAUUCCACGUGUAGCGGUGAAAUGCGUAGAGAUGUGGAGGAACACCAGUGGCGAAGGCGACUCUCUGGUCUGUAACUGACGCUGAGGAGCGAAAGCGUGGGGAGCGAACAGGAUUAGAUACCCUGGUAGUCCACGCCGUAAACGAUGAGUGCUAAGUGUUAGGGGGUUUCCGCCCCUUAGUGCUGCAGCUAACGCAUUAAGCACUCCGCCUGGGGAGUACGGUCGCAAGACUGAAACUCAAAGGAAUUGACGGGGGCCCGCACAAGCGGUGGAGCAUGUGGUUUAAUUCGAAGCAACGCGAAGAACCUUACCAGGUCUUGACAUCCUCUGACAAUCCUAGAGAUAGGACGUCCCCUUCGGGGGCAGAGUGACAGGUGGUGCAUGGUUGUCGUCAGCUCGUGUCGUGAGAUGUUGGGUUAAGUCCCGCAACGAGCGCAACCCUUGAUCUUAGUUGCCAGCAUUCAGUUGGGCACUCUAAGGUGACUGCCGGUGACAAACCGGAGGAAGGUGGGGAUGACGUCAAAUCAUCAUGCCCCUUAUGACCUGGGCUACACACGUGCUACAAUGGACAGAACAAA
rnacentral:rRNA from 1 species